rnacentral:misc_RNA from 1 species
GAUGAAGAACGUAGCGAAAUGCGAUACGUAAUGUGAAUUGCAGAAUUCAGUGAAUCAUCGAGUCUUUGAACGCACAUUGCGCCCCCUGGUAUUCCGGGGGGCAUGCCUGUCCGAGCGUCAUUGCUGCCCUCAAGCACGGCUUGUGUGUUGGGCCUCCGUCCUCCUCCCGGGGGACGGGCCCGAAAGGCAGCGGCGGCACCGCGUCCGGUCCUCGAGCGUAUGGGGCUUCGUCACCCGCUCUUGUAGGCCCGGCCGGCGCUUGCCGACACAUCAAUCUUUUUUCCUGGUUGACCUCGGAUCAGGUAGGGAUACCCGCUGAACUUAAGCAUAUCAAUAAGCGGAGGA